rnacentral:rRNA from 1 species
UACAGAGGUCUCAAGCGUUGUUCGGAUUCAUUGGGCGUAAAGGGUGCGUAGGCGGCGCGGUAAGUUCGGGUGUGAAAUCUCGGAGCUUAACUCCGAAACUGCAUUCGAUACUGCCGUGCUUGAGGACUGGAGAGGAGACUGGAAUUUACGGUGUAGUGGUGAAAUGCGUAGAUAUCGUAAGGAAGACCAGUGGCGAAGGCGGGUCUCUGGACAGUUCCUGACGUGAGGCACGAAGGCCAGGGGAGCAAACGGG